ensembl:lncRNA
CUGGAAAGACUUUUUCCUGGUCUUCCCAAAUGCAUUUAGAAACUCCCAGGCAUGUUUAGUUUUGGGAGCAGUCAUGCACUUGGCAGUAAGAGCAGCAGAUAUGGAUCCUGGAGCAAGGGAAGCUCCGUGGCUGUUGGAUGGGAUCUGCCAGCUGAGUCACUAGGCAGAUCUGACUCAUCACAUCAGAGCUGCAUCUGCAGAUGUCCCAGGAUUUUAUAAAGUUGGGCAAGGCUGCUUAUCCUCUGUAAAAACUGGGGAGACCAAGGCAUGGAAGUUAAUAGAAUUGGAUCUGCUGGAGGCAAGCUCAUCAAAUGUGGGAUGCACAAUGAAUCUACUCUGGCCUCUGUCUCUGAUUCACCACGUGCCAUGAGUCCAGCAAUUCAUCACUGCCUGAAGCUUUCCUGACUUCCCUGGCAGUUGCAGGAAGGUGCAUGGACACCCUGUGGAAGCAGAUCUCCAGGAGAACCAUCCACCUCAUCCCUGGCAAGCAGAUCCAGGUUCCUCCAGUUUUCCAGCAGGAUUUGCAGUGGGUGGUCACAGACUGGAGAGCUUGGCAGCUUUUUCAGUGCUGCUGUUUGCUUCAGGAGCCACACAUUUUUACCCUUGUAUGGAAUAAUCACGUCCUGAUGAAAUCCAGGAUUUGUGCAGCCAAGCUGACUUUGCAAGUGCCACCACCAGACACCAACCCUGCAUUUCCUGAUCCUCUUCCUCAUCUCUUCAAAUCCUCCUUCCUAAACCAGUCCUGAGCCAGAAGAGCUGUCCUGGAGGACAGCUCCCAAUCCAUUUUCCUGUACUGGGCAGCAGCUCCCAAACCAGGGUGCCCUUAUCUCUGUACAUCCCUGUGCAGAGGAUCCUUGGCUGCUCCAGCCUGCCCUGAGUGCCUCACCUUGCUGAUGCAUCUGCAGCCCUCCCUCAGGGCACAGGGGAGGCCCAGUGCAGCCUUUCCCUUCUCCCACCACCCUGUCUUGGAGUGUGUGGGAAGCUCAGUGCUCCUGGGAGGUUGGGAUGAGUCAGUGUUUGCACGUCCUGAGUCAUUCCAGGGAGUUGCCAGAGAGGAGAGGGGGAUGCCCAGCCUCAUCUGGGGGUGUAAAUAUCCCAGGAAGUUCUGUCUGAAAGAAAAUUCCCAUUGAGAGGUUACCACCUUGUAGGGUUGCUUCCAGCAGGGCCACCAUCAUGGACCACAUAUGUCACUCCAUGAGAAGUUAUUUCCUGGCCCUGCUUCCAUGUGAAUCCUUCCACAUGGCCCAAACCUGGUUAUUUGAGAGGGGUGCCACAUCCCCAACCCAUGGCUGUCCUUGGAAACUUCCUGGGACAUGCCAAGGGGUUCCUCUUGGCAGCUCCCUCAGAGCAAGUUUGUGGAACCAUGGCAUCCAACAUGCCAGGGAGGCCAUGGAGGAAUGCCAGGCAAGUUCUCAAAGCAGGGCUUUUGGGAUGGCUUUUGAGUAGAAUGAAUUCCCAGUCCUCCCACUGAUUGCAAUUUUUAUCACUAUUUUUGGGCUAUUUUGAGCUAGAGAUGCUCCUGAACUCAUGGAGGCUUUGGGAGGGAAUUGGCUCAGGAGUCUCUCCCUGGUGCUCAAAGCAGGUUUAAGAUUUAGAGGGGAGAGUGGACACCCUUGCUGACACCCCCACAGGCACUUUGUCCUCUGUGCCUUGAUGAACCCCCAGAGAGCACUACAGGAUACUUCAAAUCCACACCCAGGCUCUAGAUUUUUACCUCCAUUUCCAGCUUGACUGGGAUAAAUUCCCAGGUCAAGAAGAGCUGGAAGAACCACCCCAGGAUUUUCUAUUCUCAGAGUCCCUGCCUUCAACAUGAACUAAAUUUUCUGUGCUUGCUCAGAGCAGAGGCUGAGCAGGGAAUGAGGCCAGAAAAACAGGGGGUCAUGUCAGACUUUCUUUUUCUCUCCUCUUAACACUGAAAUAAAAAUACAUCUCAAGCUUGUUUUGGGAUUAAC